CCUACGGGUGGCAGCAGUGGGGAAUAUUGCACAAUGGGGGAAACCCUGAUGCAGCGACGCCGCGUGGGCGAAGAAGUAUUUCGGUAUGUAAAGCCCUAUCAGCAGGGAAGAAGAAAUGACGGUACCUGAGUAAGAAGCACCAGCUAAAUACGUGCCAGCAGCCGCGGUAAUACCUAUGGUGCAAGCAUUAUCCGGAUUUACUGGGUGUAAAGGGAGCGUAGGGGGCAAGGCAAGCCUGAUGGGAAAGCCCGGGGGCCAACCGCGGGACUGCAGUGGGAACUGCCUGGCUGGAGUGCCGGAGAGGUAGGCGGAAUGCCUGGUGUAGCGGUGAAAUGCGUAGAUAUUAGGAGGAACACCAGUGGCGAAGGCGGCCUACUGGACGGUGACUGACGCUGAGGCUCGAAAGCGUGGGGAGCAAACAGGAUUAGAUACCCUUGUAGUC
rnacentral:rRNA from 1 species